rnacentral:lncRNA from 1 species
GGACUCCUUCAGCGCGCUGCCCGCCUGCCCAGGGCCUUACCGGAGAGCAGGUGACGGCGGCCUCCGGGCACUGAGCUCGCGCUGACGAAAGGUUCUGGAAGCCGCCGUAAAAACUAAUCAAGAAACGGGUGACAGGACUUUUCGAACAAGGUCUCACCAUGCUGCCCAAGCUGGUCUGAAAACUCUUGUCCUCAGGCAGUCCUCCCACCUCGGCCUCCCAAAGAUCUGAGAUUACAGGCAUGAGCCACCACACCUGGCCUUGGUUUAAAUUCCUAUCACAGUAUAUUAGUUUUCUCUGUUGUGUAUUGAUUGAUUGAGACAGGGUCUGGCUCUGUUGCCCAGGCUGGAGUGCAGGGGCAUGAUCCCAGCUCACUGCAACCUCCACCUCUUGGAUUCAAGUGAUUCUCCCGUCUCAGCCUCCCGAGUAACAGGAACCGCAGGUGUGUGCCAGCACGCCUGGCUAAUUUUUUUUUUUUUUUUUUUUUCUUGAGGUGGAGUUUCACUGUUGUUGUCCAGGUUGGAGUGCAGUGGCACAAUCUCAGCUCACUGCAACCUCUGCCUCCUGGGUUCAAGUGAUUCUCCUGCCUCAGCCUCACGAGUUGUUGGGAUUACAGGCGCCCGCCACCACGCCCAGGUAAUUUUUGUUUAGUAGAGAUGGGGUUUCACCAUGUUGGCCUGGCUGGUCUCGAACUCCUGACCUCAGGUGAUCCACCCACCUCGGCCUCCCAAAGUUGUGGGAUUGCAGGCGUGAGCCACUGCGCCUGGCCUAAUUUUUCAAUUUUUUGGUGGAGAUAGGGUUUCACCAUGUUGGCCAGGCUGGAGUUUUGCCUGUUCUAGAACCUUGUAUCAGUCAUACAACACCCCUUUGAGGAACCGUUUGAGGUGUGGCAUGAUACAGCAAGUCAGCUGCCAAAGAGGGGCUUAGCCACAGGAAGUGCGUGCCCAGAACGGUAAAGGGGCUGUGGCCUUUCUUAUCAUCUUCACUCCCUGUCCCCACCAUCACCUGCUCUUCAUGCUUUGUGAUAAUUCAGUGAGCUCAUACUCAUGACCUGUGUCCUCCAGCAUGUGGGUUACAAUUCAAUGAAACGUUAAAAUAUCUACCCCUCCAGCAUCUCCCGUGUCCCUCACAGCAGUUCUAUGAGGCUGGCUGCCCUGUUUGACAACUGAGGCCCGCAUCUUCCCCGGGAUUACCGACGUGUGGCUCUGAGCCCUGUCCCAAGGGAUUUUCUCCAUCAGAGAAGAGGAGCACUUUGAGCUUUCAGAGGAGCAGCCCUCUGCAAGUGAAGUGGAAAAAAAGGAAGCAGGUGAGGAGGCCCAUCCAGACCCUCCCCCAAGACCCUUGCUGAAAUGGCUGGGAUGCGGCGUGCAAGAGCUCUCCUUUCCUUCACAGCCCCUGGCUUUCCAAGAGUCCCUGCCCACCCAGAUGCCCGCUGGCGGAUGCAGCCUCAUCUCAAGGACACUGCUUGCUGGAUAAAUCCCUCACCACCCUAGAGACAGCCCACGGUCCUGAGACAAGGAUGCGGGCCAGGCUUGAUGCAGGUAAGCGCCUCCCGCAGAAACCAGUGAGGCCGGAGUUCCAGAGGAAAUGAUGUAGGGACAGAGGCAGAGGGCCUCCAGGAGGCACCAGCCCCAGAGUCUUCCCUAGAAUCAGACUUUAAGCACAAGCAGGAGGGAAAGCACUUGAGCAGUGCCCGUCCCUGCAUACCUGGCCUCUGCUGGAACCCAUGCAGGGACAGGACACUUCUUUAUCAGCAAUCCUGUUCCUCUCCUGGGCAGCUUCAACCUGAACAUCCUCCUUUACCUUGAGCUAAAAUGGGUUUCUUGUCACCCUUGCCCAUCAAACCUGGCCUUGCCCUCAGGAACCACACAGGACAAGCCUAAUACUUCCUUCUUGUGGCAACACUUUAGCAAUUGAGACCUGGCUGUCAGGUCCUCCAAAUAAACAUUUGUGACUGUGAUGUUGACUUGCCGCUUCUGGGGACCUCUUCUCAUUUGAUCGGAGAAAGUUUUUCAGGGUUAAACCUACUUCUUUCCCCCAAGAAACUCUUCUUGUCAGGCUCACGCCUAUAAUCCUGGCACUUUGGGAGGCCAAGGCAGGAGGAUUGUUUGAGAGCAGCCUGGGCAACGUAGGUAGACUAUGUUGCU